CUGUGGGUUGCGAAGAAUGCAAAACAACCAGCUCCUAAACCAGCAGAUAUGAGCAUCAGUUCCAAUAGUUUGGUAAAGGAUGGAGCCACAUGUGGAGCUCCAAAGGAAACAAGGAGACAUUCUCUUGAGGAAGCGAUGCUUUUUACGGUGGCGGAAGCUGCUCCUCCAGUGGCAAGAUCCUGUGCGGUAGAUUUUAAUUAGAUCUCUCUUUCACAGUUGCAAAAUAAUGGUCAGUUGGUGCGACGAGAUUGACUUCACUAAUGGACAUGAAAAGGAGACAUGGUAUAGUAAAGAUUCGGGUUGCACUUACUCUUGGUCUACCCCCAACAUUGGUCUUUAAAUGUGGAAGAGGAAGCGCGUCCACCCCAACCCCCAAAAAAUGGUUAGAGCCUUAGAGGUGAAUGGUGUUCUUUUCUUUAGACAAGUUUUUGGAAACAAUAUUAUUUGAAUUUUUUAUAUUUUAACAAGCAAGUGAAGUCAAGUCUUAGUGAUUUUGAUGCA